rnacentral:rRNA from 1 species
UACAGAGGUCCCAAGCGUUGUUCGGAUUCACUGGGCGUAAAGGGUGCGUAGGUGGCGAAGUAAGUCGGAUGUGAAAUCUCCGAGCUCAACUCGGAAAUGGCAUUGGAAACUACUUUGCUCGAGGGUUGGAGGGGGGACUGGAAUGCUUGGUGUAGCAGUGAAAUGCGUAGAUAUCAAGCGGAACACCAGUGGCGAAGGCGAGUCCCUAGACAACUCCUGACACUGAGGCACGAAAGCUAGGGGAGCAAACAGG